CUUACAUGUGUCCUCUUCCUCAAUCCGAAAUUGGUAAAAGGAAAAACAAAGGGUGUUCUUCCCCAUGAAACAUGCUAAAUAGCUGGGGAUGAUGAAGCAUCAAGUAUUGACAGAGAUUGGUCAAGAUCUGAUCUUUCAGAUUCUUGUAAGUGUCCAGAGACCAGUAAAAAAGGCACUCAGUUGCUGUGACUUCGGUUGCAAAUGAGAUGGUAAAUUCAUUUCAAAGGAAAGGGACACCACGUGCAUUUGCCCCGAGUUCACCAACCAGUUGAUCAGACUACGCAUCAGGAACUGUUAAUGCACUUCUGAAGCGCUAGAAGUUAUGUCUUUCCUCUCAUCGGGAUCGAGUUUCAGUUGUGUUUCAUGCGACGUCUGGAGUUGUCAUCGUCCACACGUGCUUAGGGUCCUUUUCGAUUCUGCAGAUUGUUGGGUGAGUCCUCAUCACUCAGUUUUUUUGAUGAUUUUAUGCUGAGACUCUUCCUCGAGACCUAGCUAUCAUCAGACACGGUCUGCACUGAGCAUGUGUAGGUGUGCACUAAAAGCCAUUUCAUGUGAUCCCAAGUUGUAUGAGCCGAAGGGUAUCUGUAGCUAUACCUAGAUUGAACUGGUCGAUACGGUGUUUCGGUUUAUUGUCGUCGAGCAAUGACCGACCAAUCAUCAGGAGGAGCUGAAACACAUGCAAGGAAAUGAGAUGUCAUUCGCGAUUACUUGAAGCGGACUUCGUGCACUCAGUCUUGACUCAGCUUUGUUCAUGGAACUAUUUUUCUUUACUAGAUGGUACUUAAUAGUCUUGCACAGUUCCGAACCUUAGAAAAUAAGGGGAAAAAUACAAUGUUUUAAGCAUAUGCAUAUACUCUCAAACUUAGACAUGUACAGCAAGAUAAUGUGAAAAACAUAAACUAGACUUCCGAGGUGCGUGUUUGGUGUACAGCUACAAUUUUAAGAGGAGGUUUGAUACAACUUUCUUUCAA